ACACACACACACACACACACACAUUUAUUGGCAUGUGCUAAAUUUUUAUAAUUAUUUGAUUUAAAUGGAGGCAUAUUUAGAAUUGAGCAGGGGAAAUACACUACAUCUAUAUUGAUGUACUAAAAAUUAUAAUUAUUUAAUCUAAAUAGAGACAAGCUUAAAAUUUAGUGGGGGCAAUUUCAUAGAAAUAUAAAUUAUACACGAAAUUUUAUAUUAAUAGUGGGGUCAAUUGGGCUAAUUGAGUGGGGGCAAUUGCAUAAAUUAAAGAAUUUAUUAAAAAACUUAUAAAGAAAUGGUGGCAAUUGCCCCUACUGCCCCAGUGUAAAUGCACCAGUUAAUGGUAAUGUGGUUGAAUGAAUUUUUCUAGUUCUUAUGCAUCCUAUGUGUGAGAUGAGAUAUGAUGAUGUAGUUUUCUUUGUAUUUUUCCUUAGAUCUCUAUGCUUUCAUAAUUGGAAGCUAUGUCAUUUGGACUGCUUUGGCUGGAGCCAGAUAUUCCAUUGAACAUAUUAGAACAAAUAGGGCGACUAUUUUGCUUAGCCAAAUCUGGAAGUGGUGUGGCAUUGUUCUGAAGAGCUCUAUGCUGUUGUCAAUAUGGAUUUUUGUCAUUCCAGUAUUGAUUGGGCUUCUCUUUGAGCUUCUGGUGAUUGUGCCUAUGCGGGUGCCUGUGGAUGAAAGCCCAGUUUUCCUCCUGUAUCAGGACUGGGCAUUGGGACUUAUCUUUCUUAAGAUUUGGACCAGGCUGGUUAUGUUGGACCAUAUGAUGCCACUCGUGGAUGAAAGUUGGCGAAUAAAAUUUGAAAGGGUGAGAGAAAAUGGUUUCUCAAGGCUACAAGGCCUUUGGGUCCUACGAGAGAUCGUGUUCCCUAUAAUAAUGAAGCUGCUAACGGCCCUGUGUGUACCUUAUGUCUUGGCAAGAGGGUUGUUUCCUGUGCUUGGUUACCCAUUAGUAGUAAACUCUGCUGUGUACCGGUUUGCAUGGUUGGGAUGUCUCUGCUUAAGUGCAUUGUGCUUUUGCGCUAAAAGAUUCCAUGUUUGGUUCACCAACCUUCACAACUCCAUACGCGAUGAUCGCUAUCUCAUCGGUCGUAGGCUUCAUAACUAUGGAGAAAAUAUAGAAGAGAGGCAAAAUGAGGCAGGGAUUUCCUCUGAAGUGCAAAAUUCGAAUUUGCAAGGCACUGGUUUGAUUCUAAACGAUCAAGAAGCUGAUGGAGGGUUGAGGCGAAGGCGAAUAUAUCAAGAGGAUGCAUGACAGAUGAGACAGGUUUGUGGGAGUUCUAAUCUGAUUGAGGCUGUGAAGCCUUGGAAAUGUUAAUAGGACAUUCCAUUGGGAGAAUCAACAUGUGCUCAUAACUUCAUAGUUGGGUAUUUUGUGCAUAUAUUAUACGUGUAAAAUUACUAGUUAGAAUGGAAACAUUAAGAUGGUUGUUGGUGGCAAGAAUGUUUAUUUUUCAUUUGAUUUUUGAUCAACGCCUGUAGAUAUACUGGCUUCCAUCAAAACGUCCACAAAUUCGAUGGAAUGAUGGUUGGGUAGCCAAGGCCUUCUAUCUCUAGGGUAUUGAUUGGAACCACAAAUUGCAUUUUGAGUUGCCUGCGGGGAACACGUCUUCCAAUUAAUAUGCAUGUGGCAGAGCACACCAAGCUGAUCUCACCUUUAAAUUAUCAUCUAUGCAUAACAAUGCAGGUGGCAUCAAACACUGUUGAAUGAAUUAAUGAUAUGGGGUUGUAUUUCGCUUGGUCCUAACAAAUUAUGUGGCAUCAUUCCAGUGAUAAACUAUAUAAGGCUCUGAGGGUCGUGGAAUUGAUGGAGUAUUUGGUUAUCUAUUUGUUGAUUAUUUUGAAUUUGUAAAUCGAUUUAUAACAACUGGUUCAUAUUACUCAUAAUUAAUUUGAUGACAUCACCAUAAUGCAUACAAUCUUAGCCCUGA
rnacentral:misc_RNA from 1 species